GCCAGUUUAGCUCAGUAGGUAGAGCAGCUGCCUUGUAAUCAGCAGGUCGUCAGUUCAAGUCUGACAACUGGCUCCA
rnacentral:tRNA from 1 species